rnacentral:lncRNA from 1 species
UGGGGGUGCUGCUGUUGUUUGUCAUGUGAGUGUUUCCUCUUUGCAAUUCUUUAUAUAUUCUAGAGAUCAAUCCCUUGUCUGAUGUGUAGCUGGCAACGCAUUUCUCCCCCACUGUGGGCUCUCCGGCUCACUCUGUUGAAAGUUUAUUUUGCUAUUCAGGAGCCUUCGAAUUUCAGAGACAAGCCUAAUGUACAUGGCACACAUGCUUCUUGGAGCCCACAGAGGAGGCUGGGAUACCUGGGAGCAGAAGCCUCCUGUCCUCCCUCUGACAGGUCCAUCUCACAGUCCUGGCAUCAUGGUAUCUCACUACUCCA